rnacentral:tRNA from 1 species
GCCCGAGUGGCGGAAUUGGUAGACGCGUGCGCUUCAGGUGCGUAUGUCCUUUGGACGUGGAGGUUCAAGUCCUCUCUCGGGUA